AACGAACGCUGGCGGCGCGCCUAACACAUGCAAGUCGAACGAGAAUCCGGGGGCAACCCGGUAGUAGAGUGGCAAACGGGUGAGGAAUACAUGGGUAACCUACCCUUGAGAAGGGAAUAACCCGCCGAAAGGUGAGCUAAUACCCUAUACGCUAUCUUUUUUUCGAAAAGGAUAGGAAAGCCGGGUCGAGGACCUGGUACUCAAGGAGGGGCUCAUGUCCUAUCAGCUUGUUGGUGGGGUAACGGCCUACCAAGGCUACGACGGGUAGCUGGUCUGAGAGGAUGAUCAGCCACACUGGCACUGAGAUACGGGCCAGACUCCUACGGGAGGCAGCAGUGAGGAAUAUUGCGCAAUGGGCGAAAGCCUGACGCAGCGACGCCGCGUGGGGGAUGAAGGUUUUCGGAUUGUAAACCCUUUCAUGAGGAAAGAUAAAGUGGGUAACCACGUUAGACGGUACCUCAAGAAGAAGCCACGGCUAACUUCGUG
rnacentral:rRNA from 1 species